rnacentral:lncRNA from 1 species
CAUAUACUAAUGGAUGAAAAACUUGAAUAAAAUUAGUGCCCAAUAACUCAAAUUAACUCUUAGUCUUUCAUUUUAGAGAAAACUUGUUGCAAUAGCAACGCUAUCGUACACGCACAACUCCACUGGUUCACUUUUUUCGGCAUGAUGUCCUGGAGGUUUGACAAUAGCAAAACCAGAAUCCAAUUUUCUUUUUGCAACUUGCUCAUCCACCUAUGUUACAAGGUUUCAACAGUCAAAUUCUUGAAAACUAAAGCAAUUGCACCACCUUGGCAUAUAGAAGCAGACAAUGGGAACAUAGCAACACAUAGCAAGAGCUAAACUGCUACCUGGACAGCCAAAUGUGAAUACAAAAAGGCAUUCAAUUGACCUAAUUAAAUCUAUGUAAGUUGGCAUUUUUCUGAAUGUUGAUAGUUUUCACUGAUUGGCUAAAAUGGGUAAUUUCCUAUCGCCACACAUGUUCAACCGAAGCGACUGCAAUAAGUCUAACGUUUAUUUCUAAUUACCUUAACAGAUCUGGCAGCAAUAAGCAUCUUCUGAUGAGCAUCCAUUGACAUAGAUGGAGUUGAAUUUUGAUUUUGUCUUAUUUCUCCAUGAAUCUAACUUUUUCGAACUAAUAUUCUUAAUUAUAUCAAUGUAAUUUUUAAAGUAGAACGUUAAGGGGGAAAAAUAGCUACAUUAUUCUAAGCUACAAAGUAUAACAUUAUCCUUCCAAAACCCCAUUUUCAAGAAAUUUUUGAAAUUCGGAUUGUGAAUCAAAAUUGAAAAGUACAAGAGACAACAUCAAGGAGAACCCAGAACCCAUUUUACGCAUUAAAAAAAAUAAGGAAACUCCAAACCAGUUCUAGUGUUAAAACAAGGGUGGCAAAAAUGAACAGUGAUCUUAGGAUUGUCUCUUUUAAGGAAAGGUCAAUUUAGGAAAAGUUAGAAACCCUGCACAUAAUUGAGCUCUUGGUAAACUAUCCAAGGAAAUUCGUCAAUAAGAGCAAUAACAUCACUUGUAAUUAUUUCAACAUUUUUAUUUAUGAGGAAACCUAAACUUAUAAGAUAAAAAUCCAGCCCCAUAGCUUCUUCAAUACAAGGUCUUUGUACCUUCACAGCAACAACCUGGCCAGAGUACUUCAACCGAGCUUUGUACAUUUGACCUAGACUAACGGCAACAAUCGAAGAAGUAGAUAUUGAUAAAAAAAAACUUUCAAGUUUCUUUUAAUCAUCAUCGAAGCUUUAUAACAUCAACAUGAGACAGAUAUUAUUAGAAUUAUAUAGAGAAGGGACUUUAGAAUUAUAUAGGUGCAGAGAGCACUGUGCUAAAUAUCAAAUUCUGGGUGAAGUUUAAAUAGGCAAGGCUUUUUUGAGUUUGUACGGCAGCAUCUUCAUAUCCUGAAAUAUAUUAUAUCGUCAUUAAUUAAUUGGAAUCUACUCUAUUAGACUUGCAAAGAAUAGAGUAGAAGUAUAUUGAGAGACAUGAUUAAAAAUUCAUCACUGUGUCUCAAGGACUAAAAGCAAUAAAUUGAUCGCAAAAUUAUUUUCAAGCUAUCGUGAGACCCCCUAGAAGCAUUGCAAAAUGCGAUCAGGCUAUAACAUUUAGUGCAUUUUUCAGACCAAGCUGUUUUGAAGAUCAAACUUGCUGAAAUGAAAUAUUUUACAACAACAAAAAAAAAUAAAAAAAUCCAACUGCUUCAAUCCCCAGAUUACGAGGUGACCAUGUUAUUCCAAUGGCUACCAUCCGACCAUGUACAGCAAGCUCAAAGAAAAAAAGAAUUUAAAAAUAAUUGCAAUAAUGUUGAAGAGACCAGAGUUCAAAAACUAUUACAAGAAUCAGUUAUAAAACUCCAUUCAUUGGUCCUAGGCCUCUUCCAACUUGUUAAAGAUCCAAUGAUGACUUUAAUAACACCUCCUUAUCCUAACAAAAAAUACAUUUUUUUUAAUUAUUUUGGAUANU